rnacentral:rRNA from 1 species
GACGAACGCUGGCGGCGUGCUUAACACAUGCAAGUCGAACGAAGAGCGAUGGAAGCUUGCUUCUAUCAAUCUUAGUGGCGAACGGGUGAGUAACGCGUAAUCAACCUGCCCUUCAGAGGGGGACAACAGUUGGAAACGACUGCUAAUACCGCAUACGACCCAAUCUCGGCAUCGGGACUGGAUGAAAGGUGGCCUCUAUUUAUAAGCCAUCACUUAAGGAGGGGAUUGCGUCUGAUUAGCUAGUUGGAGGGGUAACGGACCACCAAGGCGGUGAUCAGUAGCCGGUCUGAGAGGAUGGACGGCCACAUUGGGACUGAGACACGGCCCAGAGUCCUACGGGAGGCAGCAGUGGGGAAUCUUCCGCAAGGGACGAGAGUCUGACGGAGCAACGCCGCGUGAGUGAGGACGGCCUUCGGGUUGUAAAGGUCUGUUAAUCGGGACGAAUGGUUCUUGUGCGAAUAGGGCGAGGAUUUGACGGUACCGGAAGAGAAAGCCACGGCUAACUACGUG